rnacentral:lncRNA from 1 species
GGGCGUGCGCCUGCCGGGCCGCGGACAUCCCCUGCCCCGCCUGGAGCCUGCCGGACUCUGAGCCCCGCGACCCUCGGGCGGAAGCGGCCGGGCGGCUGCACACCAGGAGCCCGCCGAGGCCUGGCUGUGGAUCCGGAAGGGGAGAGGGCAGGCAGGUAGAGGUGGCAACGCCAAGGCGCCGGCGGGCCCGGCUCCUCACCUACUGGGGGCCACCUGGGCCCCCGGAGCCCGGGAGUCGCGGGCUGAGGUCGGCCUGGGGCCCACGAGCCGCCCUCAGCGUACCUGGGCCCGGGCCUCGGGAGUGUUCGCAUUAGAUCCCCGAGGAGGGUCUGGUUUAUGAAGAUCCCGUUGCCGCGCAUUCAUUCAUUUGUUCACUCUUCAUUCACUCCCCAAGUCCUGCCUGGGCGCCUGGGCCACGCCUUUGGCUAGGCAUUAGGGGAAAAAAGCAAAACAGACAAAAACAAAACGUAGGGCAUAAAAGCACGCGUAAAGUGCUUGACAUGAGGCCUGGCAAGUAGCAAACACUCAGCAAGUGCUACGUGUUGCACACGUGCGUGCGUGUGCACGGGCAAACCAGCCUUGGGGGUCGUUGGUUCAUUCAUUAUUAAGAAACAGGGGCCCCUGCCUAACUGCACUGUUUUCCAGCCAGUGGGUCCACCCUUGGGUUUUGGCCCCUUUUCUAGCUGUGAUUUCAGACAAGCGACUUUCCUUCCCUAAGCCUUGGUUUCCUCACCUGUGAAUAAGACAAAUAUGUCAUAACGCGUAAGAUUUCUGUGAGGUUCAAAUUAGAUUAACGUGAGCACACUGGCCAAGAGAAUAGUCAAUAAAAAUUGGCUACUGGGAUUGUUAUUAAUAACCAUUACUAUUGGUUUCAUUUAUUCAACAAACACCUACAGAGAGUCUGCUCUUGCUAGACCGUACACUGAGCAGAGGAGAUGAACAGGAAGAUCCAUUCCCACGUUACAUAAAAUAGGGAGCCUGGUCUCUUCAUAAAUGGGAUGCCAUGAAAAAUAUAAGUGGGCCAGGCGCAGCGGCUCACACCCGGAAUCCCACACAUUGGGAGGCCGAGGCGGGCGGAUCACUUGAAGUCAGGAGUUGGAGACCAGCCUGGCUAAUAUGAUGAAACCCCAACUCUACUAAAAAUACAAAAAUUGGUGGGAUGUAGUGUGGCACACCAGGCGUCCCAGCUACUCAGGAGGCUGAGGUGGGAGGAUCACUUGAACCCCGGAGACGGAGGUUGCGGUGAGCCGAGAUCGUGCCACUGCACUCCAGCCUGGGUGACAGAGCGAGUCUCUGUCUCAAAAAAAAAAAAAGAAAGAAAGAAAGAAAGAAAAGAAAAGAAAAAUAUAAGUGGUAGGGAGGGGUUGUUCCAAAAUAGAAGAGCUAGAAAACAUAACCAAAUACAAUGUGUCAUCUUGCUUGGAUCCUGAUAUGUCUUUUAAGCUGGUUUUACUAUUUGUUGACAAUUGGAGACAUUUGAAUAUGGAUUGGAUAUGGGUGAUCUUCGUGAAUUAUUGGUAAUUUUAUAGUGUAAUAAUUAUACUGUGCUCACUGAGAGAAUGUCCUUAUUGUGAGGAGAUGCAUUCUGAAGAGUUGAGGAGUGAAGGCCAUAAUGCCUGUAAACUAUUGUUUAAUGGUUCAACAAAAGAUAAAAUCAUGUACACACAUAAACAUUCAGGGAGAGACAGCAAAUAUGGCAAAAUGUUUACUAUUGUUGGCUCUAAGUAGUGCUAUAUAUUUCAGCUUUUCUCUAUGUUUGAAAAUUUUUAUAACAAAAAAUUGGGGAAAACAAUACAAUAUAGUGUCUGUGCUAUAAUUUUAACCAUGGAAAAGCGAUAUCUGCACUUGGAUAGAAACUGGGGGACGUGAAAACUCACUAGUGAUUUAUGGUUGUCUCUCUGGCUCGGUGCGGUGGCUCACACCUGUAAUCUCAGCACUUUGGAAGGCUGAGGUGGGUGGAUCACC